rnacentral:misc_RNA from 1 species
UGCGAACACGGGAACGUGAAGGGCCGUAUCGUCAUUGUCGAGGGUGGCGUACGUCCCACACUGCUUCUCUUACCCCCUCCCUCCUCCCUUCCCCUUUCCCACAGACGCGCAGGCGCGCUCAUCCAUAGAGGGUGGCGUACGCCCCCGCCGAGGCAUUAGCUUUCCCUCCCCUUCUCUCGCUCAAGCGGCCCUUGCUAAAGCCGAACGAUCACGAGGUCGCAUAUAUGAGCCGCACAACCUCAACCGACUUCGUCACGGAAGCGGGUGGGCGCCCGUUCUCCAGCCCCGGCGCAAGCCCGAUGGAAGCCAUGCAAAACGCUGAAGACAUGGACCUGGACACCCUCCGGCGCUCCGUCCAGGUGCAGAAGCAGCUUGAUGUCCCUCCACCGCCCACAGCGCAGCUGCUGCGGGUGCCAGAGGUGAUGGAUGACUUUGUUCGCAACUUCCUCCACCGUAAUGGCAUGACGCGCACCCUGCAAGCCUUUGAGAGUGAGUGGUAUGGCAAGGCUGGCGGCGGCACCGGCACCGUCAACGUCGCGCCUUCAAAUCCAAUGGUGCCGGAUAACUACCGCGAGACGAUGGUGCUGCAAAACCGCAUCGAGCUGCUGGAGCGCGAGCUGCGCCAGCACGCGGAGCUAAACACGCGCGUCACACAGCAGUGGACGCAGGCGAAGAAGGACCGUGAGUAUCAUCGCACAAGCCACCAGCGUGUAGUGCAGGAGAACGCGCGCCUCAGUCGACUGCUGAAGCAGGCAGGCCAACACGCCGAGCUGGUGAACCCGACAUUGACGGAGUCACGUAUUCGCUGCGAGCAGCUGCUGAAGGCAAAGUCGCUCUUGACGAUCGAGCGCGACAAGCUGCGCAGAGAAAAAGAGCAGCUCGAGACGAGGGUGGCGGAGCUGGAAGGACAGCAGCAGCAGGCAUCUGAGGGCGCCGCAACGGGACCCAAGCCCCCGGCUGCGACCCAGCGCGCUGGUGCCUGGAAGUCGUCGCACGCGAGCGGCAAGUCGAACGCGGCCGCGCAUCGAGGACUUGCGUCGUCGCCGUCUCCGGCGAGCACAAAGGCUGUCGAUGCGGAGGCGGACGGGUUUGUGUGGCCCCCUGAUGAUCGCCCACACCCUCCAGGGUCGACUGCUGCAAAGUCUUUUUCAGGCAACGCUGUUGAAGGACAGCCGAGCUUCGCGUCCUCUGAGUCCCCGGCUACGGAGUGGGUGGAGCAGUCGUUCUUUCAGGCUCACACGAUGGCGGUCACGAGUGUCGCGCUGCACCCCUUCAAGCCGGUCGUGGCGAGUGGCAGCGACGACGGCAGCUGGCGCCUCUCGACGCUGCCCACUGGCGACGCCAUUGUGUCUGGCCAGGGGCACAGCAACUGGAUCUCGUGCGUUGGCGUGCACCCGCGUGGCACAAUGCUCGCCACCGGCUCUGGCGACAAGACGGUCAAACUCUGGGACUUUGCAACUAGCCGCUGCGCCGCCACCCUUAGCGCCCACACCGACGGUGUCUGGGACCUCGAGUUCCAGGACACCGGCGUACUGCUGGCGAGCGCGGCGCUGGACAAGACGGCGCGUGUGUGGGACGUGGAGCGGGGCGUGUGCCGGCAAACACUGCGAGGGCACCAGGAUGCGGUGAACACCGUCAGUUGGCUGCCUUGUACGAACCUGCUGCUCACAGGCAGCGCCGAUAAGUGCGUUGCCGUCUGGGACGCCCGCCAAGGCACCAAGGUCCAGUCCUUCACUGGCCAUCGUGCCGCCGUGUUGUCCGUGGUGGCCGGGCCGGUGGGGAGCUCACUCUUCGCUUCGUGCGACACCCAAGGCGCCGUCACUCUCUGGGAUGCCCGUCGCAUGGCACAGCUUCUCCGCGUCGAAUGCGGACCGCAGUCGGCCAACUGCGUCGUGGUAGACGGCAUCGGCCACAACGUCGCGGUCGCCAGCGACGACGGUACCAUCAAGAUUAUCGAUGUGGAGGAGGCAGUGGUGACAGAGCUGAUGGGCCACGAGGGCCCGGUGCAGAGCGUGACGUUCGACCUCGCGAGCAAUCACUUCCUUGUCAGCGGUAGUAGCGACUGCACCAUCCGGUACUGGUGCUGAGGGCGCCGAGGCACCGAUGGCCGUGGUCGGCCGCGGCAUUUUCAAGUCUCACUCGCCAUGACUGUCGACGCAUGCACGUGCGACUCGAAGCCGUGCUAGACGCGCGAGCUGGAACCACGGGGGCGGGAGGGAGAGAGAUGUACAGUAGUGUCGGUGGCGAACGCUUCUUUUUGUGUUUUUUUUUUUCGGUGGCCUGCAUGUUGUUGGCAGGCGCGCCGUUGUGUGCUCGCAGGCCUGAAGCAAGGUGUAACGAUGGAGUGGUUGAUGGAGUGGCUCGCGAUGGGAUGCGCAGAGGGGGAGGGGGCAGGCUUUAGCGGAGGAGGGAGGCGCGUCAAGUGUCAGAGAACAUUCUGGAGCGUGAGAUAGCGCCGCAAGUGUUUGCGUGCCCUGCUCUGGUAGAGGUUACGCCCUUUCCCUUCUCUCCCUUCCGCGGCCAUCCCCGUGUCCCACCCCGGACGUCGACGCACCGCCCGCUUUCACUCCUUUGUGUGCUGGUGUGUAUGUACAUUUGCUGAGCUUCUGGCGUGCACAAGGCACACGCAGGAAAA